GACAUCAGGUGAUAUUGAAUAGCAGAA
rnacentral:sRNA from 1 species